rnacentral:rRNA from 1 species
GGGUCAGUAGGUUGGUCGUGCCACCGGUACGUACUGGUCUCACUGAUUCCUCCUUCCUGAAGAACCGUAAUGCCAUUAAUUUGGUGUUGCGGGGAAACAGGACUGUUACUUUGAAAAAAUUAGAGUGUUUAAAGCAAGCUAACGCUUAAAUACAUUAGCAUGGAAUAAUGAAAUAGGACGAUCGAUCCUAUUUUGUUGGUUUCUAGGAUUGACGUA